UACGUAGGGUGCAAGCGUUGUCCGGAAUUAUUGGGCGUAAAGAGCUUGUAGGCGGUUUGUCGCGUCUGCCGUGAAAUUUCGAGGCUCAACCUCGAACUUGCGGUGGGUACGGGCAGACUAGAGUGUGGUAGGGGGAGACUGGAAUUCCUGGUGUAGCGGUGAAAUGCGCAGAUAUCAGGAGGAACACCGAUGGCGAAGGCAGGUCUCUGGGCAUUAACUGACGCUGAGGAGCGAAAAGCAUGGGGGAGCGA
rnacentral:rRNA from 1 species